rnacentral:rRNA from 1 species
GAUCAUGACUCAGGAUGAACGCUAGCUACAGGCUUAACACAUGCGAAGUCGAGGGGCACGCAUCGAUAAAAGCUUGCUUUGAUGGAUGGCGACCGGCGCACGGGUGAGUAACACGUAUCCAACCUGCCGACAACACUGGGAUAGCCUUUCGAAAGAAAGAUUAAUACCGGAUGGUAUAGUUUUCCCGCAUGGGAUGAUUAUUAAAGAAUUUCGGUUGUCGAUGGGGAUGCGUUCCAUUAGG